rnacentral:lncRNA from 1 species
GUAUAAACAAGGUAAUGAAAAUGUGGUUGCGGAUGCGUUGUCUUGAAGGUACUGCUUCUUAAUUUUUUUUAAGUGCAAAGUUACUUGGCUUUGAGCAUAUAAAGAGCAUGUAUGUAAAUUACCUUGAUUUCUCUAGCAUCUAUGAUUCAUUUAAUAAAGGAGUUGUUGAUAAGUUUUAUAGGUAUGACGAAUAUUUGUUUAGGGAAUAUAAGUUGUGCAUUCCUAAUUUUUCUAUACAUGAAUUUUUUAAAGGGAAGCACAUGGUAGAGGUCUAAUGGAUCACUUUGGGGUUCAAAAGACUUUAGAAAUAUUAGGGGAACAUUUUUAUUGGCCUAAAAUGCGAAGUGAGGUAGAACGAAUUUGUGAUAAAUGUAUAACUUGUAAAAGGGCUAAGUCUAUGGUUUUAUUCCAUGGUUUGUAUACUCUUUUGCCUGUAGCUAGUGAACUUGGGAGAAUAUAUUAAUGGAUUUUGUGUUGGGUUUACCUAGGACAAAAAGGGGUCGGGAUUCAAUCUUUGUAGUGGUUGAUAGGUUUAAUAAAAUGGCACACUUUAUACCAUGUCACAAAAUCGAUGAUGCCACUAAUAUUGUAGAAUUUUCUUUAAGGAAAUAGUAUGUUUGCACGGGGUCCCUAAGAGCAUAGUGUCUGAUCGUGAUGUUAAGUUUUUGAGUCAUUUUUGGCAUGUUUUGUGGAAUAAGUUAGGUACUAAAUUGUUAUUCUCUACAAUUUGUUAUGCACAAACCAAUGGGCAGACUGAGGUAAUAAAUAGGACCAUGACUCAAUUGCUUCAUAUUGUGAUUAAUAAAAACUCGAAAAAUUGGGAGAAAUGUCUACAAUUUAUUGAAUUUGCUUACAACAGAGCUGUGCAUUAUACUAUUUCAUUUUCACCUUUUGAAAUCGUUUAUGGGUUUAAUCCGCUAAUUCUUUUGGAUUUGUUACCUUUGCCCGUAAAUGAAGGAGGUAACAUGGAUGGUAAGAGAAAAACUAAGUUGGUAAAGUCACUCCACAAAAAGGUCAAGAUGCAAAUUGAAGAAAGGAGUAAGCUUAUGGCAUCAAAGGUAAACAAAGGAAGAGAGCGCGUGACAUUUGAACCAAGUGAUUGGGUCUGGGUAUAUUUCAAAAAGGAGCGUUUCCAAAGUAGAGAAAGUCUAAGUUGCAGCCACGAGGAGAUGGUACAUUUCAAAUCAUUGAAAGAUCAACGACAACGCAUACAAAGUGGAUCUUCCAAGUGAGUAUAAUGUUUUUAGUACAUUCAACAUUGCUGAUCUAUCUUUUCUUGAUGCAAGUGCAUAUUUGAAAACGAAUCCUUUUGAAGAGGAAGGAGGUGAUAUGAUCCAAGAUGCGAGAGUUACAAAAGCAAGUCCGAGCUGAGACCCGUUGGCUAUCGAAGAAGCUCGAUGACACGAUCGAGAACAAAAGGAGUUGAAGAGGCAAUGGGAUGCUCGUCAAAGCCACUAUUGAUGACACCAUGUUCGGGACGCAAAUUGGAGCAACUUUCAUGUUGGGGUCGAGAGCAGAAGUGAAUUGGAUCAACGUGAUACAAGCAACAAAAGACAAAGGCCAAAGUAACAACUAUGCGGCCACAUAGUUGCUUAUGGCAUGCGACCGCAUGUAUACCAGCAGAAAAUUUCAGGUCGCAACAUAUGUGUUCUAUGCGACCUCAUUCAGUAACACUAUGCAAUCACAUAGUUAAAAAAUGAGGAUGCAUUUUUUCCUUUUUCGCGAGAUUGUUUACUUUGUUUGGAAUUCUAUAUUUUGGAAACUUUCAUUACUAGGGGACUUUAAUUCCUUUUUUUUUUUGUUUAUUUCUUUAGGAGACUAGUAUAAAUACUUUACAUCUUUCAUUGUAUUAAGAACCUUUGGACAUUUUGAUAAUUAAGAGAUUAUUGCUUUCUUCAUUGUUCUUCCAAUUAGACAAUAAAUCGAACUUAUCAAGAAG